CCCCAUACGGUAUAGUGGUUAUUGUGUUUGGCUUCAACCCCAGGAACGCGGGUUCGAUCCCCGGCUCAGAGGA